GACGAACGCUGGCGGCGUGCCUAAUACAUGCAAGUAGGACGCAGUUGCGAACGGGCGAGCAACGCGUAGGUACCUGCCUUUUAGAGGGGGAUAACUAUUGGAAACGAUAGCUAAUACCGCAUACUAGUAGAUGGACCUGCGUUGUCUUAGCUAGUAGGUAGGGUAAUGGCCUACCUAGGCGACGAUACAUAGCCGACCGGACGGGGUGUUGGUCCACACUGGGACUGAGACAGGGCCCAGACACCUACGGGAGGGCGCAGUAGGGGAUCGUCGGCAAUGGGGGGAAGCCGGACCGAGCAACGCUGCGUGAGUGAAGAAGGUUUUCGGAUCGUAAAGCUCUGUUGUUAAGGAAGCGGUACUUAACCAGAAAGGGACGGCUAACUACGUGCCAGCAGCCGCGGUAAUAG
rnacentral:rRNA from 1 species